GACAGAGGGUGCAACCGUUGUUCGGAAUUACUGGGCAUAAAGCGCACGUAGGUGGUCCACUAAGUCGAGUGUGAAAUCCCCCGGCUCAACCGGGGAAUUGCGCUCGAUACUGGCGGGCUAGAGGUCGAUAGGGGUGAGCGGAACUCCAGGUGGAGCGGUGAAAUGCGUAGAUAUCUGGAGGAACACCGGUGGCGAAAGCGGCUCACUGGAUCUCUUCUGACGCUGAGGCACGAAAGCUAGGGUAGCGAACGGG
rnacentral:rRNA from 1 species